ensembl:snRNA U6 U6 spliceosomal RNA
GUUGGGUGAUUUCUACCAGCAAUGAGAACCUGACUGCAACAGAAGCUAAAAUUAGAAGGAUAUAGUGAAGAUUAGCAUGGCCCCUGUUCAGGAUUACAUGCAAAUUCAUGAAGUGUUCCAUUUUGUA